UGUUUUUCAAUUUAUAUAAAGAACUCUGGUGGAAUUCUGGUGGAAUUUGCAUUGAAUCUGUAAAUUGCUUUUAAUAUGAUGGCUAUUUUCACUAUAUUAAUCCUACUGGUAUAUGAUCAUGGGAGAUCUUCCCAUCUUCUAAUGUUUUCUUCAGUAUUGUUUAUUUGUUUUGAGAUAAGGUAUUUUACAGAAUCUGACUGUCCAGGAACCACUAUGCAGAUGAAGACAUUGUCAAACUCAGAGAUUCAUCCAUCUGCUUCCUGAGUGCUGGGAUUAGAGGAGUAUGCUACCAUGCCUUGUUUAAUUAGAGUUAUUCUGAGUUUUGUUUUGUUUUUUUUAAAGACUAUUGUGAAAGAUAGUGUUUAUCUGAUUUCUUUAUCAUUCUGAUUGUUAUAUCUAUAAAGGAAGGGUAUUGUUAUUUGUGUGCUAAUUUUAUAUACUGCUAUGUUAUUGAAAAUGUUUAUCCGCUGUAGGAGUUUCUUGGAGGUACUUUGACUUACUCAAUUUUUUUUUUUUACUUGUAUCCCUUUGAUCUCUUUCAGCGGUCAUAUUGCUCUAACUAAGACCUCAAACUAUUGAACAGACACAGAGAGAGUGGAAAUCCUUGUCUUGUUCCUGAUCUUAAUGAAGAUUCUUUGAGUUUCUAUCCAGAAGUUCUUAUAUUCCUAUUGGGGCUUCUAUACCAGCUGCAUGUCUCUAGGGCUGGAGAGAUGAAUCAGAUCAACAAAAGAACUUGCUGCUGGAGCAUAAAGACCUGAGUUGGAUCCCCAGCAUCGGAACAAAGUAUCUGUAAUUCCAGCAAUGGAACUCCAAGUGUGAUGACAAGGAACAUGUGAAUCAGAAGACACUGGCAUUUGUAUCUGGGGUGAUACCAAGAGCCCUGGCAUUGAGGUCUUGCUCUGAAGCUGUCGGCACUGUUGAAAGGUGAUAGAAUCUUUUGGAAGUUGGUGAUAAGUAGAAGGAUGUCAGAUGAUUGGGGGCUCAUUUUUCUUUCAAGCAGAUAUGGAGACUCAGUCCACUUCUUGGCUGUCUCUUUGCUUCCUGGCUGCUGAGAGAUGAGCAUCAACUGACCUGAGCUGAAACUGUGAGCCAAAAUAAAACGUUUAGACUUGUGGGUUUCAGAUCCUUUGCCAUAGCGAUAGAGGGGUAGCUAGCACCGGUGACAUACAUGGAUUAAUAUAAAGGUAGCACCAUUCUAAAUAUACUGCUUCUUACUUGUUUUUCAUUCUGUUUGGAUUGGUAACAAAAGCAUUCCAAGGUGAACAGAUAUAAACAUGUAUCAUCACACUUAACUACUUCACAGUGCUUUAUCUAAUAAUACCAACUUCAUUGGUAUCAUCUCAGAAGUUGUUUUGGAUAUGUAGAUUUUUUCUGAUAUUGUAAGUAAUAACUCAAUAGACACCCUUGCAUAUACUUCAAAAACUUUUCCUUACUUCAAACUUGUCUACCAUUUAGGAAGCCCUGAGUUCAAUUUUUAGUGUCCCAAAUUAUGACAAUUACAAAUAAAUUCCUACAAAUGAGACUGUUGGGCCAGAACAUUGGUGUGCAGCAUAUAUUGCUACAUGUUCCUAAACUGUGUUCUGGAAGUGUAUCAAAGCCAUGGUAACUGCAGGAAGAUCUGAUUCCUAUCCAACUCUGUUUUCAGUCCCUAUUGCUCAUUUGCUGAUUAAUGUUUUCAGGAAGCUAGCUGAUGAAUAAAAUUUAAACUUGUUAUCUGCAAAUUAUUGCAUCUAAUCUUAGGUCACUGUGUACUCUACAAUUUUAACCCACUGAUACCCAAAUCACACCAGGAGAGAGCUCAUCUCCCAGGAGUGAUGACAUACUGAGAGCACAGGUAAGACCACCACUUCAGAUUGUAUGGAUCGACCUGGAGUCCUCAGAACACAGGAAGAGAGGAGCAGCCUGGGAAAGGAUCCUUUCCAUCUGUGCCUGGAGCUGAACCUGUGCCACACCUCUCCAUACCCAAAUCUGGCAGGAUAGAACUGGUCUCCCAGGAGUGCUGAAACACAGGCUUACAGGAGGGACAAGUCACAGUCAAAGACAGCAAGACAAGCUAACACCAGAGAUAACUGUAUGAUGAGAGCCAAGCACAAGAACAUGAACAACAGAAACCAAGGCCACUUAGUAUCAUCAGAACCAAGUUCUCCCACCACAGCAAGCCCUGGAUACACGAACAUACCAGAAAGGCAAU
rnacentral:lncRNA from 1 species